CUUAUGUGGUUAUGUGAGAGUAAAUCCUGAAGACAAAACUGGCGUUCUUCUAUUUAGUAGGAACUUUAUUUUCUGAUAUGCUCCAAUCAUUUUUGAUGUCUUUUUGACACUGUUUUUAGCAUGAUGCCACCCACUACUGUUAGACGAGAAGGUUAAUCUCAAAUGUUUAUGAAAAAUCAACUAUUUUUAUAUUGCAGCAAUCAAAAUUCAAAUUAAUGUCUUUUCGGCCAUCUUUCGAAGUAAAAAAUAUAGCUUCAGUUCUUUUCUUGUGUUUUUAUUGGGACUAUUCCAUUGUAAUGUGUAGGAAACAGGUAGUAGCUAAUCUGCCCACUGAACUGUAAAUGUUGUUGUUUUAAGGCGUCUGC